rnacentral:rRNA from 1 species
GACGAACGCUGGCGGCGUGCUUAACACAUGCAAGUCGAACGAGACGAUUGAAAGCUUGCUUUUAAAAGUCGAGUGGCAAACGGGUGAGUAACGCGUAGACAACCUGCCUUUGAGAUGGGGACAACAGUUCGAAAGGACUGCUAAUACCGAAUGUUGUAUAUUUUCCACAUGGAAGAUAUAUUAAAGAUGGCCUCUAUUUAUAAGCUAUCGCUCAAAGAUGGGUCUGCGUCUGAUUAGCUGGUUGGUGGGGUAACGGCCUACCAAGGCGACGAUCAGUAGCCUGUCUGAGAGGAUGAACGGCCACAUUGGGACUGAGACACGGCCCAGACUCCUACGGGAGGCAGCAGUGGGGAAUCUUCCACAAUGGACGAAAGUCUGAUGGAGCAACGCCGCGUGAGUGAAGAAGGGUUUCGGCUCGUAAAGCUCUGUUGUCGGGGACGAAUGUGCAGUAUUUGAAUAAAGUACUGCAAUGACGGUACCUGACGAGGAAGCCACGGCUAACUACGUGCCAGCAGCCGCUGUAA